rnacentral:lncRNA from 1 species
CCAUACAAAAGCUAAUUCUUUCCGGACCUAAACUUCUCUCUAACCCAACCAGCCGCACACCCCAUUCCCCACCUUGUUGCCGUCCCAAACUCGCUGGAAAACUCACCAAAACCGGCGAGUUCACUCAACGAGCCACCAAAUGGGCCCCUCUCACUUUUCACGUCACCCGAUCCCUAACGAACCCCUGACAAGAGAAUAAUUUCUCGCUUCCUCAUACGUUUUUUUAUCUCUUGACAAAUUUGGGUAAAUGUUAGCCAUAGGAUCUGAGGAUUUUAAGAUCCUAGGCUUCCAUUUGUCCGAUUUGAUUCAAAAAGAGGGGAAAAAUUAAUUUUUGGAAAGAGGUUCUAGAGAUUUCUUGACUUGAUGAAGAGGGUUCGAGGUGAGUAUAUAUAGGUUUACACACGUUAUUUUGGGAUUUUUCGGACAAAAAAUUGGAAAAAAGUUAUAGGGUUUAAGAGAAAGCUUCUUCUCUUCUAGAUGAUUUGUCUUGAGAUUUGUCUAAGCCUUCUUUCGAAAAAAAUGUUUCUAUUUUGAGUGUAAUUGGCGUUUGAGUAUUAGUAAAGGAAGUUCAAAGGGAAAUUAUCAAAAGUAUUUAGUUUUCCUUCUCUGUUUUCUUUUAAUCCUAUAUCAAGGAAGAAAAAUCAGAAUUAAAAAUAGAGCUAAGCUGAGGUUUGAAGCUGAGUCGAGGCGUCGUUCGAACUCGAGCUCGCGGUUCCAGAUUCGUUUGUCGUUGUUCCAUUCGUUUCCGGUUGAUUUCGUUGUUCAAUCUUCUGCUUGUAUCUUCUUCCUCCGGACAGAAAUAUAUUGGAAAAUUUCACUUCAGGUAUCCUUUAUCUUUCUUACUUUUAUUAGUUGAUGGUGUUGAUCAAAGUGUAAUGAGAGCCUGGGAUAAAUAGUUAUAAUUAGUUUGAAUUUUAGCUCAAUCGGGAUAAGAUGAGUGGGUUUGAGCAUUACUAGGGGCAGAUGUUUGCGAGUUUCGUAGUGUUGAAUUUGUAUGAAUUAUUUUUCAUUACGUGUGUUCUAUUUCACUUUUGGGUCAGUUUUAACAUGCUAGAUCGCAGAUCGAGUCGAUAUUACGAUCAAUGAUUUGGUAUUUGAUUGCUUGAAAUUCCAUACAGGAGCAUUGGUAUUUGAUUGCUUGAAGUUUUACACAUGAAUAUGGAACCUAUUCGAUUAACCUUCCUGUUAUAGCUCAAGUUGAUUCGGUGUUUGAAGUUUCCUCAUCUAUUUGAUGUCAAUGACCUGUUCAUACUCUCUAAGGCAUGAGUCUUUAAGAUUUUAUCUCGAAGGUCGUUAAAGGCUAAAUUAAACUCUUACCCAUUUGAGCUUGGAGAUAGAACUUUUGUUAAAUGUUUGGUGCUGAAGCGAAAAUGCAAGAUCUAUGGUUAAUACGGUUCAACUGAUUUUUCUACAACUUGCAUGCGAUUCUUUAUUCAUUAUGCGUAUUUGUGAAGGAAUUGAGUGUAUACUGCUGCAUCCGGUUGCAUUUUCAUUGUCCAUAUCUUUUGAAAGUUCUCACCUAUUUCCUUCUAAGUAUAUGCAUAUGAACUUGUUACCUCAUCUGGCUUGCUGGUUCUAAUUAGAAAUAUUUAGGUUGGUGUCAAGAAAAGUUUUCGGUUCAUUAUUGUCUUGUUAUUCUCUCG